rnacentral:rRNA from 1 species
UGCGAACUCCUACGGGAGGCAGCAGUGGGGAAUAUUGGACAAUGGGCGAAAGCCUGAUCCAGCCAUGCCGCGUGAGUGAUGAAGGCCCUAGGGUUGUAAAGCUCUUUUACCUGGGAAGAUAAUGACGGUACCAGGAGAAUAAGCCCCGGCUAACUUCGUGCCAGCAGCCGCGGUAAUACGAAGGGGGCUAGCGUUGUUCGGAAUCACUGGGCGUAAAGGGUGCGUAGGCGGGUCUUUAAGUCAGGGGUGGAAUCCUGGAGCUCAACUCCAGAACUGCCUUUGAUACUGAGGAUCUUGAGUUCGGGAGAGGUGAGUGGAACUGCGAGUGUAGAGGUGAAAUUCGUAGAUAUUCGCAAGAACACCAGUGGCGAAGGCGGCUCACUGGCCCGAUACUGACGCUGAGGCACGAAAGCGUGGGGAACAAACAGGAUUAGAAACCCCGGUAGUCCAGAUG